UAAAAUAUUAAAUAAAUGUAAAAUUAAAUGUUGUAAUAUUGCUUUUUGAGUAGAAGUGUUGUCAAACAUUGUUUGGACACAAUGGUGCGUAUUUCCUCCUAAAAGGGUUAACUACUACUUCUUAUUUUAUUUAUAUUU